rnacentral:ncRNA from 1 species
AUUAUUAUUUUGAAAAGCCUUUGUUUUAUUAUGAAAACAGAAAAACGGACACUGAGGAUAUGUUACAUGCUACUUAUCAAGCAACAUGCCGCUCAAACAUGGGCAACACGCAUUGGCAAGAGAACACGUUAGGUUGCAAAACGGAAGGUGUCCCAAGAUGAGCUCAACCAGAAAACAAACCUCGCCAGGAGUAGGCGCAAAAGGCACUCUUCAUUUUGAUUUCCAGUACGAAUAGAGGUCGCGAAAGCGUGGCCUAUCGAUCCUUUUGAUUUUGCGGAUUUCUUGUAAGAGAUGUCAGAAAAGAUACCACGGGGAUAACUGGCUUGUGGCAGCCGAGUGUCCAUAGCAACGUUGCUUUGUGAUCCUUCAAUGUCGCCUAUUCCUAUCAUUGCGGAGCAGAACUCGUCAAGUGUUGGAUUGUUCAUCCACCAAUUGGGAACGUGAACUGGGUUUACUUCGUAGUGAGACAGAUUAGUUUUACCCUACUGGUCACUGAUCAUUGCAAUAGUAAUCCCGCUGAGUAUAACGGGAGCCACAGUAACUAAAAUUUAGCUCAUCCUCUUGGGUGAAAUGCCAGUGACGCGUAGCCACAAUCUGAAAGAUAAUGACCUGUAUGAUACCUACGUAUGCCAAACACCGUCAGGCGAAUUUUAGUAUUCUAACGUUAUAAUUGACACGUGCAUUGCUAUUAAUAAAAUUUAGCAACUAUUUACUUUGGGCGUUGUUCAAUGUACUAAAUGCUGUUUCAUCCAUUCUUCAAGAAUUUUCUCAUCACUUACGAAAACAACAGCCAGUUAUCCAAAAGCGGUGG